rnacentral:lncRNA from 1 species
GACCAUACUACAUGGGAUCUAUUACCCUCUCCCAUGUGCUUUGGUUACUGAAAAAAACACAUUUAUAGCCCUCUUGUGGAUGAUUUGUCUACCAUAUGGCUGGUGUCACAGGAGUGGUUUCAAUCCCAUGCUCGGACUCUCCCACCCUGAGCAGAGCCGCUCCUUGGGUCAGGAAGAUCUGCAUGGACAUCGCAGUACAGCUUCAUUCCCAAUUGCAGUCACCCGCCCACCCACCCAGAAUCUCUCACAGCCCUCAAAGCCUCUGCCACCUAAGGAGACCAGCAGUGAAACCUAGCUUCACUGCCGCUGCAACUGAGAUGGCACAGGCUCAAUUGCAUGCCCUUACAAGUGCAAAACUGGCCCCGCCCCCGCCCCCGCCCCCGCCUCGCCCCAGCUCACAGCGUUUGGCCUCCCCCUCCCUGCUCCAGCUCUCUGCCCCUCCCUGGGCCGCUUAGCCCUGCUGGGCUGCAGGUCCCUCAGCCACUGCCUCCACCGCCCCUGCCCAGGGCCCGAAGAGCAGGCAGUGGCUCUGUACUGGAUACUGCCACUGGAGGCUGCAACGCCCGGAGCCGGCUACUGCCCUGCUGGUUUACAAAACCGUUUCUUUUAAUGAAAUCCCGCCCAUUUUAACCUUGUAUAGUAGCCACUUUGAGAAGUUUCAGAUUACAUCGCAAUGUAU